rnacentral:rRNA from 1 species
UACGUAGGGCGCGAGCGUUUGUCCGGAAUUAUUGGGCGUAAAGAGCUCGUAGGCGGCUUGUCACGUCGGGUGUGAAAGACCGGGGCUUAACUCCGGUUCUGCAUUCGAUACGGGCUAGCUAGAGUGUGGUAGGGGGAGAUCGGAAUUCCUGGUGUAGCGGUGAAAUGCGCAGAUAUCAGGAGGAACACCGGUGGCGAAGGCGACAUCCUGGACCGGUAUUGACGCUGAGGCGCGAAAGCCAGGGGAGCAAACGGG